rnacentral:rRNA from 1 species
AUCUAUGGCCAUACCACUUUGAAUGUCCCUGAUCUUGUCUGGUCUCAGAAGUCAAGCAGGAUUGGGCCUGGUUAGUAUUUGGAUGGGAGAUUGCCUAGGAAUACUGGAUGGGUAGGCU